GCGUUGGUGGUUUAGUGGUAAAAUUGAUCGUUGCCAUUCGAAGACGCGCUUACGAGUAUUUACUGGGCGGGCAAUUCAUGUCUCGAUCAGCCCCGGGUUCGAUUCCCGGCCGACGCA